rnacentral:misc_RNA from 1 species
AAAUCUCACAAAUGAACCAUUUCUUUUGUUUCAGCUUGUGGACUUGGAUUUGCGAUCAAUCAAGAUUGCUAAUCUGAAAUGAAUUUCAUGAAGCUUAACAUGCUUUGAAUCUUUUGCUUAAUAGUUUUGCUUUGUCAAAUCUUUUGCAAUGGAUUUAAAAGCCAAAAAGUGAAUUGAUUUUACGAAAUCGUUUACCUCAUU